GAUGAACGCUAGCGGCAGGCUUAAUACAUGCAAGUCGAGGGGCAGCACAGUGUAGCAAUACAUGGGUGGCGACCGGCAAACGGGUGCGGAACACGUACACAACCUUCCUUCAAAUGGGGAAUAGCCCAGGGAAACUUGGAUUAAUACCCCGUAACAUUAUGAGGUGGCAUCACUUUAUAAUUAUAGCUCCGGCGUUUGAAGAUGGGUGUGCGGCUGAUUAGGUAGUUGGCGGGGUAACGGCCCACCAAGCCUUCGAUCAGUAACUGGUGUGAGAGCACGACCAGUCACACGGGCACUGAGACACGGGCCCGACUCCUACGGGAGGCAGCAGUAAGGAAUAUUGGGCAAUGGACGCAAGUCUGACCCAGCCAUGCCGCGUGGAGGAUGAAGGUCCUCUGGAUUGUAAACUUCUUUUCUCUGGGGCGAAAAACAGGUUUUCUAACUUGCUUGACAGUACCAGAGGAAUAAGCACCGGCUAACUCCGUGCCAGCAGCCGCGGUAAUACGGAGGGUGCAAGCGUUAUCCGGAUUCACUGGGUUUAAAGGGUGCGUAGGUGGGUUGGUAAGUCAGUGGUGAAAUCUCCGGGCUUAACCUGGAAACUGCCAUUGAUACUAUCAAUCUUGAAUACCUUGGAGGUGAGCGGAAUAUGUCAUGUAGCGGUGAAAUGCUUAGAUAUGACAUAGAACACCAAUUGCGAAGGCAGCUCACUACACGGUCAUUGACACUGAGGCACGAAAGCGUGGGGAUCAAACAGGAUUAGAUACCCUGGUAGUCCACGCCCUAAACGAUGGAUACUCGACAUCAGCGAUACACUGUUGGUGUCUGAGCGAAAGCAUUAAGUAUCCCACCUGGGAAGUACGACCGCAAGGUUGA
rnacentral:rRNA from 1 species